rnacentral:rRNA from 1 species
UAGGGAAUCUUCCGCAAUGGACGCAAGUCUGACGGAGCAACGCCGCGUGAGUGAAGAAGGAUUUCGGUUCGUAAAACUCUGUUGUUAGAGAAGAACAGCGCAUAGAGUAACUGUUAUGCGUGUGACGGUAUCUAACCAGAAAGCCACGGCUAACUACGAGCCAGCAGCCGCGGUAAUACGUAGGUGACAAGCGUUGUCCGGAUUUAUUGGGCGUAAAGCGAGCGCAGGCGGUCAAUUAAGUCUGAUGUGAAAGCCCCCGGCUCAACCGGGGAGGGUCAUUGGAAACUGGUUGACUUGAGUGCAGAAGAGGAGAGUGGAAUUCCAUGUGUAGCGGUGAAAUGCGUAGAUAUAUGGAGGAACACCAGUGGCGAAGGCGACUCUCUGGUCUGUAACUGACGCUGAGGCUCGAAAGCGUGGGUAGCAAACAGG